rnacentral:rRNA from 1 species
GAUGAACGCUGGCGGCGUGCCUAAUACAUGCAAGUCGAGCGAACAGACGAGGAGCUUGCUCCUCUGACGUUAGCGGCGGACGGGUGAGUAACACGUGGAUAACCUACCUAUAAGACUGGGAUAACUUCGGGAAACCGGAGCUAAUACCGGAUAAUAUAUUGAACCGCAUGGUUCAAUAGUGAAAGACGGUUUUGCUGUCACUUAUAGAUGGAUCCGCGCCGCAUUAGCUAGUUGGUAAGGUAACGGCUUACCAAGGCAACGAUGCGUAGCCGACCUGAGAGGGUGAUCGGCCACACUGGAACUGAGACACGGUCCAGACUCCUACGGGAAGCAGCAGUAGGGAAUCUUCCGCAAUGGGCGAAAGCCUGACGGAGCAACGCCGCGUGAGUGAUGAAGGUCUUCGGAUCGUAAAACUCUGUUAUUAGGGAAGAACAAAUGUGUAAGUAACGAUGCACGUCUUGACGGUACCUAAUCAGAAAGCCACGGCUAACUACGU